GAUUGAACGCUGGCGGCAGGCCUAACACAUGCAAGUCGAACGGUAACAGCAGAGCUUGCUCUGGCUGACGAGUGGCGGACGGGUGAGUAACGCGUAGGAAUCUACCCAGUAGUGGGGGACAACUUGGGGAAACUCAAGCUAAUACCGCAUACGCCCUACGGGGCAAAGCAGGGGACCUUCGGGCCUUGCACUAUUAGAUGAGCCUAUGUCGGAUUAGUUAGUUGGUGAGGUAAAGGCCUACCAAGGCGACGAUCUGUAGCUGGCCUGAGAGGGUGGUCAGCCACACUGGAACUGAGACACGGUCCAGACUCCUACGGGAGGCAGCAGUGGGGAAUAUUGCGCAAUGGAGGAAACUCUGACGCAGCCAUGCCGCGUGUGUGAAGAAGGCCUUCGGGUUGUAAAGCACUUUAAGCGAGGAGGAAAGGUUACUGGUUAAUAACCAGUAGCUGUGACGUUACUCGCAGAAUAAGCACCGGCUAAUUCAGUGCCAGCAGCCGCGGUAAUACUGAAGGUGCAAGCGUUAAUCGGAAUUACUGGGCGUAAAGCGCACGUAGGCGGUUCGUUAAGUUGGAUGUGAAAGCCCAGGGCUCAACCUUGGAACUGCAUCCGAUACUGGCGAGCUAGAAUAUAGGAGAGGGGGGGUAGAAUUUCAGGUGUGGCGGUGAAAUGCGUAGAGAUCUGAAGGAAUACCAGUGGCGAAGGCGGCCCCCUGGACUGAUACUGACACUGAGGUGCGAAAGCGUGGGUAGCGAACAGGAUUAGAUACCCUGGUAGUCCACGCCGUAAACGAUGUCUACUAGCCGUUGGGAGGCUUGACCUCUUUAGUGGCGCAGCUAACGCGAUAAGUAGACCGCCUGGGGAGUACGGCCGCAAGGUUAAAACUCAAAUGAAUUGACGGGGGCCCGCACAAGCGGUGGAGCAUGUGGUUUAAUUCGACGCAACGCGAAGAACCUUACCAAGUCUUGACAUCCUGCGAACUUUCUAGAGAUAGAUUGGUGCCUUCGGGAACGCAGUGACAGGUGCUGCAUGGCUGUCGUCAUCUCGUGUCGUGAGAUGUUGGGUUAAGUCCCGUAACGAGCGCAACCCUUGUCCUUAGUUGCCAGCACUAAUGGUGGGAACUCUAAGGAGACUGCCGGUGACAAACCGGAGGAAGGUGGGGACGACGUCAAGUCAUCAUGGCCCUUACGACCUGGGCUACACUCGUGCUACAAUGGUCGGUACAGAGGGUUGCCAAGCCGCGAGGUGGAGCUAAUCCCAGAAAACCGAUCGUAGUCCGGAUUGGAGUCUGCAACUCGACUCCAUGAAGUCGGAAUCGCUAGUAAUCGCGAAUCAGAAUGUCGCGGUGAAUACGUUCCCGGGCCUUGUACA
rnacentral:rRNA from 1 species